CACACACAGACCCACACACACACAGACCCACACACAGACCCACACACACACACACACACACACACAGACCCACACACACACAGACCCACAGACCCACACACACACACAGACCCCCACGCAGUGCGGGCAGCCUCGUCGGGCGGGGGGACUCACCCAGUGGCGGGGGCCGGUGUCGGGGUAGCGCGGCGUGUAGCUCUGGAGGGCCACCCCCCCGUCCCCCUCCAGCAGCAGGGGGAUGUCGCGGUCCAGGCAGUGCUGCUGGUGCUGCUGGAGCUGCUGCUGGAGCUCCGGCGGCCAGGGAAGAAGGGCCGCCAGGGGGUAGCUGGAGAUCAUGUUCGCCUCCAGGGCAUGGUGGAGCCUAGACAGCAGGGUGGAGGCGGGGGUGGAGGUCCUGGAGGUAGGGGAGGUGGUGGUGGAGGUGGGGGUGGAGGUCCUGGAGGUAGGGGAGGUGGUGGUGGAGGUGGGGCUGGAGGUCCUGGUGGUGGGGGCGGAGGUCUUGGUGGUGGUGGGGGCGGAGGUCUUGGUGGUGGGGUUGGUGGUGGUGGUGGUCUUUAGUUAAACCUCUGCUGUGGGUGUUUGUCUCUCUAUUGUUAUUCUACUUGUCGCCGCUGCGGUCGUCGUUGUUGUCACGGCUGCUGUCCUUGUUGCUGUUGUUGUUGUGGUCGUCACCGAUGUCAAUGUCAGGUCCAGCCGGCUCGCCACUUGUGGUGGACACACGACCUGUCUUGAUAGCCGACCUCUUGGCUCUGGUCUCUGUCCCUCUGUGGAUGAAGGCUCAGACGUGUGAGGCCAGGGUGGUCCUGACUCGCCACGAUCCCCGUCAAUAAGCCGCCUUCCUCUUUCCCUCACUUACUCACGCUUUCUUUUCCUUUCCGACGCACAGACACAAUAUGUCCCUUCAGUCUCCUGUUUCUCUCCUGUGUGCGAGUGGCUCCGCCGGCGAACAGCUCUGAGUCACAUGAGGGAUACACGUCUG
ensembl:lncRNA